AAACCCGGUGAUCUAGCCAUGGGCAGGUUGAAGGUUGGGUAACACUAACUGGAGGACCGAACCGACUAAUGUUGAAAAAUUAGCGGAUGACUUGUGGCUGGGGGUGAAAGGCCAAUCAAACCGGGAGAUAGCUGGUUCUCCCCGAAAGCUAUUUAGGUAGCGCCUCGUGAACUCAUCUUCGGGGGUAGAGCACUGUUUCGGCUAGGGGGUCAUCCCGACUUACCAAACCGAUGCAAACUCCGAAUACCGAAGAAUGUUAUCACGGGAGACACACGGCGGGUGCUAACGUCCGUCGUGAAGAGGGAAACAACCCAGACCGCCAGCUAAGGUCCCAAAGUCAUGGUUAAGUGGGAAACGAUGUGGGAAGGCACAGACAGCCAGGAUGUUGGCUUAGAAGCAGCCAUCAUUUAAAGAAAGCGUAAUAGCUCACUGGUCGAGUCGGCCUGCGCGGAAGAUGUAACGGGGCUAAACCAUGCACCGAAGCUGCGGCAGCGAACGUAUCACUUAAAACGCUUAACGUGACGGCAAAGCCGACAUGUUCAAGCCACACUAAACGUUGAGUUGGCCGGUGUGCUGACAAACGAACAGGCGUUUUAAGGAUACGUUCGUUGGGUAGGGGAGCGUUCUGUAAGCCGUUGAAGGUGACCUGUGAGGGUUGCUGGAGGUAUCAGAAGUGCGAAUGCUGACAUAAGUAACGAUAAUGCGGGUGAAAAACCCGCACGCCGGAAGACCAAGGGUUCCUGUCCAACGUUAAUCGGGGCAGGGUGAGUCGACCCCUAAGGCGAGGCUGAAAAGCGUAGUCGAUGGGAAACAGGUUAAUAUUCCUGUACUUGGUGUUACUGCGAAGGGGGGACGGAGAAGGCUAGGCUAGCCGGGCGACGGUUGUCCCGGUUUAAGCAUGUAGGCGGAGUGACCAGGUAAAUCCGGUUGCUUAUC
rnacentral:rRNA from 1 species